rnacentral:rRNA from 1 species
AACGAACGCUGGCGGCAGGCUUAACACAUGCAAGUCGAGCGCCCCGCAAGGGGAGCGGCAGACGGGUGAGUAACGCGUGGGAAUCUACCCAUCUCUACGGAAUAACGCAUGGAAACGUGUGCUAAUACCGUAUACGUCCUUCGGGAGAAAGAUUUAUCGGAGAUGGAUGAGCCCGCGUUGGCCUAGCUAGUUGGUGGGGUAAAGGCCUACCAAGGCGACGAUCCAUAGCUGGUCUGAGAGGAUGAUCAGCCACACUGGGACUGAGACACGGCCCAGACUCCUACGGGAGGCAGCGGUGGGGAAUAUUGGACAAUGGGCGCAAGCCUGAUCCAGCCAUGCCGCGUGAGUGAUGAAGGCCCUAGGGUUGUAAAGCUCUUUCGCCGGUGAAGAUAAUGACGGUAACCGGAGAAGAAGCCCCGGCUAACUUCGUGCCAGCCGCCGCGGUAAGAC